CGGAGGAAUACCUCCGAAACAGACCUCUCCUCCGUAGCGGCACUUUCCACAUCGCCUCUCAGCCAACGCGAGUUGGCUCGAGUCAGACACGUGUCAGCCCCCGGGCCGGACCCUGUCGCUGUCCCUGCCCCAGCGGGCCAGGGCUUCCCGCAGCCCUGCGCGGCCCUGGACCACCGGUUACCCCGCGAUCCAAUGCUGUUCGCUUUGAUUUCGGGUUUCAGUGACAGUGAGGGGAGACGCCAGGUUCAAAUUAAUGGCGGGUUGGUCGGUGGUGGUUCCGUGCUUCGGUCUGGUUUGGUUUGGUGAAAGGCUGGACUGCGGGAAAAAUAGGACAAUUGUAUGGCUGGGAGAUCUGGCAGCUUCAGAGGCUCCCAAGAAUUCGCCAUCCCUCCUGGUUUAUUUACCAGAUCCCCGGUGUGCAUUUUAAACGCAUUCCUGGAAGAGAGGGAAUAUAUUCGUGAUAUAUUUUCACUUUAAAGAACCUUCUCUAAAAGGGGGACGGAGGAAAGCGAAAAGACGCCUUUGCCGGGGACUGUAACAAGGAAUUUUCAGGGAUUUUAAUUUCACCGCACGGAGGGAAAAUAAUUCCGAGAUUUAAGUUAAAGAAAAAAAAAAACCCCAAACAAAUAGAAAGCCGAGAUUGAGAGCGAGCUUCUCGAGUCAGGAAAUGAAUAAUUAAGAGCAAUUUGUAACUUUUGACACCGAAACUUUUGAGGACACGCCCUGACCGCUGCAGCAAACCCAACCGAAAAGAGAUAAAAUGGAAAUGCUGGAAGUUUAGAAAAAUCCCGAUUUUUGCCUUGAGAAGGAAGGCGCAGAAACACAAACCCAUCCUCAGAUCCCCAGCCGGGGAUGUAGGCAACUGUCUUCCUGUUUCCAAAUGAAUGAUUUCCAGGAUACAAUGCUUAAAACGUAGCGUUUAAUUUUCGAAGACCUUUACCAGAAAACAGCCUCGUGCAUUAGAUAUGAUUUUUAGUUUCCAGCGGUGCGACCCGCUUCAAGCCGCGACGGCAGUAAUUCUGCCUCCGGUACGAUCGGAACAUGCAGUCGAAAGAGGCUUCUCCCUGUCGCUGCUUUCAAAAUAAAACUCUGGCGAGAUUCGUGAACAAUUCUGGCUUCUGAUUUAAAAAAUUAAUAACAAAAUCAACGUUUGAUUUGUUCUAUAAAGUGUAUUUUUAGAGCGACAGACCGAGAUAUUAGUGAGCAAUUAAAAUAUAUGCGGGCACGGGCUCCUCACACACAGAACACCAUCUGUACGGCAGCGGGUGUGUGUGUGUACAGACACCGGCACCCACAGGCAGAUAAAUACACACAAAUAUCCCUCUGCUCUGAUAGAAAUAACCUUAGAAAAGCACGGGACAGAGCAAAACAAACUCGUGUGAAAAAUAUCCGGGCUGCGAGAAUGUGAAUUAUUCAUUUUUAAUCUUUUUUGCAUCUGUUGCCUUUUAAUACUUUGUAAUGCGAGGUAUAAAAGGUGCCUUGAAUUAUUUAUCAUGGAGUUGCCGAAGAAAUUGCUGUCUUGUAACUUUAGAGGCAACAUGUGCAGAAGGGGUUCUGAACAAAUGAAGAAAACACAGGGCAACAUACACCCGCGGGUUUCAGUGCAGGACGAUAAAUAUCCCCCCUCCCCUCGGAACCCCUAAAUAUGAUUCAAGAAAGACUAACAAAAGAGCGCAGCGAAUAAGCCCGGCUCCUGGGGAAAGGACGGGGAAGGCAGCCGGCGCCCGGCAGAGGCGGCUGGGAGGGGGUAUGUGGAGGUGUUACUGCAGGGGUGGGGGAGAUGGAAAAAACUCUAUUUGUGCGAAAGGACUUGGAUCGAUCGCAGGGCAAUGAGAGUUUCCACUAAGUUCAGAGCCAAUAAGUCAGUGUCAGAAGCAGGGGAGGGGAAAAAAAUAAAAAAAUAAAAAAAUAAAAAAAUGGAACCGAGCGAAAAUACAAACAGAUCAUUUUUCAGCAAACUGCAAAACGAACUAAGAUCUCUUGGUCAGGAAGAUGCAGAAGGUUAGGGCUGUGUGAAAGGAAAGCUUUAAUACAGUGUGCGCUCCACAGCUAUAUCAGCUGGCUGUUCGGAGAUAGAGACGCGCAGGUAGCAGUGCCAGCGAAGCUGCACCGCCUGCGAGCGAGCAUCCAUCCAUUCACCCAUGCAUCCCUCCCGCCCGGGCAGGGCGAACCGCUCCCGUCCCUAACGCUGACCGCCCCGGUGGUGGUCCCGCCGAGCCCCCACAGGAGGUAUUUCCCUUUAUUCCCUCGCUCCGUUCCCCUGCCCGCGCUGAGCAGGUGCAUACUUAUUUUUUUCCCCCACAUCAUUUCUCGAAAUAGAGAAAAACAGAUUGGAAAAAAACGAUCAUAGCAGUUCUACCUGAGAGAAAGCGGGGUUUUGCCUGGAAAGGGGGAACAGAGGAACAUGGAGCAUUUUAAAUUCUCCCUGAAUCAGGUUGGGGGGGGGGGGGAGUAAAAAAGAGAAAAAGAAAAAAGACAGAACCGCACAAGUCUCUUAGAAUUAUAAUUUAUUUUUUACUGGAGGAUUUUUCCUUUGAAGCUCGCAAGCUGAGUGAGGAGAGAGGGUCUGUCUGUAAACUAACACCGGCCGCGGGACACAAAAUAUUUUCUCUCUCCCUCCCACUCCCUACAUUUCUUUCCCUUUCUCUUUCUCUCUCUGAAUCCCUUCAACUCGCAUCCGAAAAUAACGGGAGAGGACGCGGUGCAUGGGGGACAUGCCGCGGGGUGAGGGAGGGCGGGGUUCGCCAGUAACUCUAAUUGACAACGUGAUAGAAAAUCGUGAAAGAAAAUGAAAGGAGAGAGGAAAAGCCCGGGAGCAGAGAGCAGGGGGCUGCGGCGGGCCCGCCCGCGCCGCCGAGCAGCCGAGCUCGGGAGUUGGGGCGCGCACCUCUCCCCAGCCCUCGGGAGAGGAGCCGCCGGGGCGCUCACCCACCUCGCCCGCCGCUCCGGGCCGAGCAACCGCCGCUCUGGCGGGGGCCGCGGGAGGGACACGGGCUCUCCGGCCCAGGGAGGGAGGGAGGCGGCGUCCGGCUCGUGAAAUCCACCCUGUCUUCUCUUUCCUUCCCAUCUUUCCUCCUUUCUCUUAUUUCCCUUUCUCUCUUGCUCAUUCUCCUUUCUUCCUUUUUCUUUGCCUUCUCUCUUCACCUUUGCUUCUCUCUCUGUCUUUCCUGCUCUCUUUCUUGUUCUCGUUAUCUUUUUUCCUCUCGUUCUCUGCCUCUUAUUCUCCCUGUUUUUUUCUCUUCCUUUCUCUCUUUCUCCCUAUUUCUCUUCUUCUUUCUCUCUCCCAUGUCCUGUCCCCCCCUCUCGACCCCCUGCCAUCACCACCAUCCGUCUGUAGUGACUGGAGAUUUUGCAGUUACGAGUGGUGAAGAAUCCACGACUAACGGUGUGUUUCUGGUGUGCGUGGGUUGUUGUGUUUUUUUUAUUUCUCUUUCCCCAGCAGGGCACGGGGGUGUGAACCAGCUCGGGGGGGUGUUUGUGAACGGCAGGCCCCUACCUGACGUGGUGAGACAAAGGAUAGUGGAGCUGGCUCACCAGGGGGUGCGACCCUGUGACAUUUCCAGGCAGCUGCGGGUCAGCCACGGUUGUGUCAGCAAGAUCCUGGGCAGGUAUUACGAGACGGGGAGCAUCAAGCCCGGCGUGAUCGGCGGGUCCAAACCCAAAGUGGCGACCCCCAAAGUAGUGGAUAAAAUCGCCGAGUACAAGAGACAAAACCCGACAAUGUUCGCCUGGGAGAUCCGGGACAGGCUACUGGCCGAGGGCAUUUGUGACAACGACACGGUCCCCAGCGUCUCCUCCAUAAACAGGAUCAUCAGAACCAAAGUUCAGCAACCUUUUCACCCAACACCAGAUGGGAGCGGGACAGGUGUGACUGCACCAGGACAUACUAUCGUGCCCAGCACAGCAUCCCCUCCCGUCUCCAGUGCCUCCAAUGAUCCAGUGGGCUCUUACUCCAUUAACGGGAUCCUGGGGAUUCCUCGGUCGAAUGGCGAGAAGAGGAAACGUGAUGAAGAUGUAUCCGAGGGCUCAGUUCCCAACGGAGAUUCCCAGAGCAGCGUGGACAGUUUGCGGAAGCACCUUCGAGGCGACACUUUCACCCAGCAGCAGCUGGAAGCUUUAGAUCGAGUUUUUGAGCGUCCUUCUUACCCUGACGUCUUUCAAACAUCAGAACACAUCAAAUCUGAGCAGGGUAAUGAGUACUCCCUCCCAGCUCUGACCCCUGGUCUCGAUGAAGUCAAAUCAAGUCUAUCCACCUCUGCUAACCCAGACCUGGGGACAAAUGUGUCAGGACCCCAGACGUACCCUGUGGUGACCGAAAACCUCUCCUCUCCCCUCAGUAUAAAGCAAGAGCCUCAUGGAGCCUCUCUCACCCCUUUCACCCCCACCACGCCGGUCGGCUCUGGGCAGGCUGAUCUUCAGCCCUUCCACAUGGCCCUUUCAGAUGAUGCGUCCACGCCUUGCUACAGUGCCUUCCUUCAUCAUGGUGCCCACUUUGGGCAGUCCAGCAGCCAGCCUCUGAUAGCAGCGUGAGAUUGAAAGUGCCAAGAUCUUCCCCCAGAAUUUCCAGUGGAUGAACAGCACUUAUGCAAGAGAAGGCUGCACAGCACUUGCCUACCAAGCUGCUAGUCAUGUGACAGUGGGACAAAAGGUAGUAUCAAAUCAAUGUUGAAAGAUCUUAUCCCUAUUGACCCCCUGUCCUGAUUCUUUCCCUUUCCAGGUCGUGAUAUGGCAAGCACCACCUUGCCUGGCUACCCACCCCAUGUUCCCCCAACUGGACAAGGCAGCUACCCAACCUCAACUCUUGCAGGAAUGGUUCCUGGGAGCGAGUUCUCAGGCAACCCCUACAGCCACCCGCAGUACACAACCUACAACGAGGCCUGGCGGUUCAGCAACCCUGCAUUACUAAGUUCCCCUUAUUAUUAUAGUGCCACAUCCCGGGGCUCCGCACCUCCCACUGCUGCCGCUGCCUAUGACCGCCACUAGUUACCAUGGAAACCACAUGAAACUGCAGGGCGACAGCUUAGGCCUCCACAUUGUACCUGUCUGAUCACCUCCCUCCAUCCCUGGGAAGGGUGAAGAGACUUUCUCCGUUCCUCCCCACAGUCCAGUUCCUUCCUCUUUGCCACGAAGGCGCCGGAAACAAGUGCUCACCACACGAGACUGAACCCCCGCCCUCCCCCUGCCUUCCGCCCCCCCCACGCCGGGAAGAGCCUGCGGCCAAGGGGCUUCUCCUGCCGGAGCCCUCCACCGCGCCUGGGCAGAGUGCAGCCACGCAAAGGCCCCUCGGCUUCCAGGACUUCAGGGGGGCGGGGAAGCAAUGCAGCUGGCAACCAUUGCCUUACAGGACCCCCUUCCGGGAGCAGUGAGGGCCAGGGGAGGCAGGGGAGAACACUGUCCAUGAAACACUGUUCCCCAAAGAUACGCUCCUCUGUGGUGGACUCUUCUACAUGUGCAACGCGUGAUGUUCACCCUGUUUCCCAGGACAGAGGGAACAGUCUGGCUAGAGCAGAGAUGGCAGUACAGAGGCCUGGCCCAUCUGGCAAUGAAGAAAAGGACCAAGUAACUAUCUGCACCCCACGAGGGGUUCUCUGUGCACCUCAUCCCCACUCUGCAGCAUGGCUUCCCCCAUAGUUGGCUGCACCUCACACGUGGUGACUUCGCAGGCCAGAGUUGGGAGGAACCUCACACAUACACCCACAAUUUCUGUGACACACAAUCAGCUCAGACAGGAGGAUGGAGCAACAUUUACAAACCAACCGACAAAAUGAAGAAAUAUAUAAAUAGAUAUAUAAAUAUAACUGUGUUUUUAUGCUUUGUCAUGAAGGUCUGUAAAAAGGAAAAAAAAAAAAAAAAGAACGAAUCCCCAAUUUUCUAAAAAACCCAAGCAAACAAAACUAACAAAAAAACCAAAAUAAUAAUUAAAAAAACCUACAAAAAUAAAACUCCAAGUCCCAUCCCUCCCCGCCACCUGAAUGGCAGACGAGUUCCUCUGACGUUCGAUGCUCCUCUUUCACUCUAGGGUUUUGUUUCCUUUCUGUUUUGCACUACAAUGGGAUGGUGGUAUUGGAGAGGAUUGGAUGCCAGCUCCACCCCUGUUGCCUCCUCCUCCUCCCCCUUUCCCAAAUCCUGUCUCUGGGGAGCAGUGUGGACAAGUCACAUCUGACAAAGUUACCAAACACAUCAGUCGACAAAAAAGCACUCUGAGUCAACAAACGUUUUCCAUGUCACUGGUUGGCAAACAAAGAAAACAAGCCCAGCUGUGCUCUAACUGCGCUGUGUGGUGGAAAGUGUGGGGCUUCAUGUGGGCCCAUCUGAUUGCCCUCUGGACAGCUGAGACUGAGAUGGACAAAUUCAGGAUUGGCUGGGAUUAUUGCUUGGUUCCCUAGCCCUUAGCCUCCACAUCUUUUACCUUAAUCCCUGUACCUGUGACGACUUCAGUUCACCCAUAUCCUGACUUUCGCAAUUUUAGAUAUGCCCAACACCCAACUCCAGAUCCCCACUGCUGGUGACAACAGCCUCAUUAUUCUGUGUCCAACACCUAAUUUCCUAACCACUAUAGCCUUGCUACAUGGGCCCCCUUCGAUUCCCAGUCCAUCUGCUCAUACACCUACUAAUUUAUAGGCCUCCAUUCAAAGCUGUAUGCCUGCAUCCCACCAGCCAGUCCCAACAUACAGCCCCAUCUUUUCAUCUUCAAUCCUAUAUUGUGCGCCCUAAUAUUUACCCUUUAUCCCAAAUGCUCACCUGAUGAUUCUCUAGGGAUUCUCUGCUCUUUUUGGUUCCCAAGUGACUGGCAAACACUGUGCUGCAAAAGGCUAACUGUCAAUAGAAAUGCUUAUUACUCCUGUAUCGUCAGCAAACUCAUAAACUGUUCCUUGCACUGACACUUCCUAAAAACUACUCAAAGAAAACAUGAAGGCAGCUAUAGCCUGUCCCCAGGGCAUCAAGUCUGCCAAAGUAGAUCCUUGUUGUUUUAGAGAGGUUUCAGAUAAAACUCGUGGGCUACUGUCCAUGGACAAAGACAGGAUUGAGAAUCAAACCCCCCAAGGGCAUAAAAGUGAACAGCGGAGCAAUCUGUACAGCCAACACUAUGUAUAAAAUCCAAAGUUCUAAGCCUCAGAGGAGAUGUGGUUGUGGACUUGGUAUUCUGUCUCCAAGCUUGACUUGUAUGUAUGAAAUCCAUCAUCAGUAAACAACUGUGUUGAUCCCAAAGGCCCCCUUCACCUAACACUUUUAGCCCUUGCAUGGCUCUAGCUGAUUAUAGGUCUGUGUCUUCUUUAAUAGGGUGCCCAAAUGAUAACAGUGUUUGGGGGGAUGUUUACAUAGAAGAUAUAGAACUAAAAUCUGUUCCUGUACAGUACAAAAUCAGAGGUUACUCCUAAUCUAUUAAAAGUGUCAUUCUGCAUAUAUUACCUCUGAGUAACCUGCUGCAAAGAGCAGUCACCAAGACCAGAAUUUGGCCUGUUAUCUCAUCUUACAUGAGAAGAAAAUUCUGAAUAACUUCUAAAAAAUCACUUUCACCACUCCUUCUGUUUUCCUCCACAGACACCAGAUAGAUGCUGGACCCUGUUAGUAAGUCUCCCUUUUAGUCUCUCAUUACAGCCUUUGCUCUAUGUGUGCACCACCCAGUUUCGCUGAGCAGGUGGUCAGAGCAGAGGCACUAAAUCCCAGGACGAGCAAGGAGAACCUCAUGAGGAGGCUAGAGAAAAGAAGACUGUCACACCUCACGCUUGACAACCUGCAGUCCAGGGCCACCUCAAGAGAAGCUAGCAGCUCAGAAAUGCUUAUUUUUAUAAUGGUGUUUCACUAAACUUGAGACAUGAGCUCGGGUAUGAAAGCAGGAUGUGGUUGGCUUACUCACGGCUGGCUUGAUUUGACCCUCGGAGGGCCAAUUCCAUUGGUGGAACUCAGUUACUUUUAUCAGUAACUCCACUGAUAAAAGAGGAUUUCCACCAGGCGUGAUUGGUCUGGAAAGUUCAUAAGUACGGCAUGUAGUUUGACCAGGAAAAUGAAAAGGAAAGCAGAAUUAUGCAAAGGACUGGGCAGUCUAAUCCUCUUCCACCACCAUCUGUAGACCCCCAUGCGAAUGUACUGAAUUACAUUUGCCAAAGAGUUUCUUGUAUUGGUUGUUUUGAUUUACAGUCGGUGGAUGCAUUGUAAAGCAGUAUUAUAGCUAAAGUCUAGUAGCUGACACAGGGAUUUAUGUGGUGAUAUUAUGCAGAAGAAAACCAUCAAUAUUCAUAUAGAUUCCAUUAGACUGGACUAUGCAGGAAACGCAAAAAUUCUACCAAUUAUUUAAUAUUAUGUUAUUUGCAAAAACAAUUGCUGCUUUGUAGGAAGAUAAUGUGUGUAAUGUGAAGGCAAUUCCUCUUGUAUAUAAGUUCAUCUCCAUCUUCAUCAUGGUAGUUAUUAAAACAGCCUCGUCUCAUCCUGUAGAUAAGGAACACGCUGUCUGUACUGUGCAAGUCUCGUCGUGCUCACUGAAAACAAAACGAUGUGUUCAAUAAAGCACAGCACAAAUCCAGAA